rnacentral:rRNA from 1 species
UACGGAGGAUGCAAGCGUUAUCCGGAUUCAUUGGGUUUAAAGGGUGCGUAGGUGGGUUUGUAAGUCAGUGGUGAAAUAUUGUCGCUUAACGAUAAGGUUGCCAUUGAUACUGCAGGUCUUGAGUUUGGUUGAGGUAGGCGGAAUGUGCAGUGUAGCGGUGAAAUGCAUAGAGAUUGCACAGAACUCCGAUUGCGAAGGCAGCUUACUAAGCCAAAACUGACGCUGAGGCACGAAAGCGUGGGGAUCGACAGGAUUAGA